ACGCUCGACACCUACGGGGGGCAGCAGUGGGGAAUAUUGGGCAAUGGGCGCAAGCCUGACCCAGCAACGCCGCGUGAAGGAAGAAGGCCCUCGGGUUGUAAACUUCUUUUGUCAGGGACGAAGCAAGUGACGGUACCUGACGAAUAAGCCACGGCUAACUACGUGCCGGCAGCCGCGGUAAUCUGAGCGGGCUGGCAAGGC
rnacentral:rRNA from 1 species